AUACUCACCUGGCAGGCGAGACGCCAUGAUCACCAAGGUGGUUCUCCCAGGAUGAGACUAUCCCGUUGCACUUCGAGUGUGCUGACGCCUAAGAUGUUCCCAAAUGCGGGAUACUCGACUGCCAUUUGUGGCAUAUAAGACCUGCCCGCAACCCCAAA